GACAUAGAUUCUACCAUGGUCAAAAUUAAUCACUACAAAAUUAUGUAGAGAAAUGUUUAAAAAUAAGCGAAUGGUAGAUUUAAUCACCUUAAAUUGCGUUUUACAUUUUUUUUUUGCUUCGAAAACUGGCAUCUAUUAAUGAGGGGAUUGGUCAUUAUAAACCUGACAAAACAAACAGACAAAAAGCAAAUGAAAAGACAACAUAAAUAGCAACAGCUACACAAAAUAGGGAAAACUGAAGCACACAGAAACGCUAAGACCGGAAAAGAAAACACAACAAUCCCCAGCAGAGACCCACAGAAUACCAGUCAAUACCUUUCUGUUUCUCCUUCAAAGAACCAUUGUAGCCAAACUGAAAAGGAAAGCCAACUUUGAAGAACAAACAUCAGAGAUUCAAAAAACCUUCUCCAAAACUUCAAAUCCCCCAAUACUCCUCAACCCUGACGACUCCAAUCCAACCAGUUCUCUGCCACCAGGAUUUCGACAGAAGCUGGCGCCUCUUCAUUCCAAAAACAUGGUGAAAGCAGCUUUCGCCCCUCCAACGCCAAAGUAUGAGCCACCCUAUUAGCGUUUCUUGGAACAAAUUGGGAAUCCCCCUCCAGUAAAACCAUCUUGAAACCCAUAUCAAUAAUAAAGAGGAGAGCACGUUCACAAGCCCUAGCCUCCGCAACAAACGCAUCUGCAACAUCGACAUAAGGGUAAGUACAUGCACCCAAAAUUAACCCCACUUCAUUACGGGCUAAAACAGCCAUAGUGGAAUGAUUAGAAAUGCCCUGAAAAGAGGUAUCAAAAUAAUAACCCCUGGGUUAAAGGGCUGCCACAACUCAGUCACAGUAGUUUUUAGAUUAACCACUGGAGCUUUACUUAAGUUCAACUCAUGGGCAUAACCUUGUACAAACCCCAAAAGAUCCUAUUGGAAAAUUUUCAGACCUUCAUGAACCACUUUAUUUCGUUAAACCAAAAAUCCAAAAAGAAAUAAUUAACAACUUUUUGGUAUCCUCAUCAACUACUAUAAAAAAUGCUCACUAACUGAUUUUUUCUAUCUGAGGUUAUCCUGUUACAAUCAAUUGAAAGAUUCAGAGACUGCCACAGUUGUCGUAAUACACCACAGUACCACAAUAAGUGGUCAGGAUCUUCUGGCGGUUCCUUACACAAAGGGCAAACAUUGCCAACUCACAUUCUUCAUUUGUUUAAGUCACUGUAAUGAGGCACAUAAUCUUUAAGUAGCUGCCAUAUGAGGAUUUUAAGUUUAAAAAGAGUCUGUAAAUCCCAGAUCAACUUGUAGAAUUUUUUAUAUAUGUCUAUAGUAGUCGAAUUGUAAGCAAAA